GACGAACGCUGGCGGCGUGCUUAACACAUGCAAGUCGAACGGUGAAGCGCCUUCCUUUUUGGUGGGUGUGGAUGAGUGGCGAACGGGUGAGUAACACGUGAGUAACCUGCCCCCUUCUUCUGGAUAACCGCAUGAAAGUGUGGCUAAUACGGGAUAUUCUGGGUCUGUCGCAUGAUGGGUCUGGGAAAGAUAUUGUUUCGGUGGGGGAUGGGCUCGCGGCCUAUCAGCUGGUUGGUGGGGUGAUGGCCUACCAAGGCGGUGACGGGUAGCCGGCCUGGGAGGGUGGACGGUCACACUGGGACUGAGACACGGCCCAGACUCCUACGGGAGGCAGCAGUGGGGAAUAUUGAACAAUGGGCGCAAGCCUGAUGCAGCGACGCCGCGUGAGGGAUGGAGGCCUUCGGGUUGUGAACCUCUUUCGCCAGUGAAGCAGGCCUGCCUCGUUUGUGGGUGGGUUGACGGUAGCUGGAUAAGAAGCGCCGGCUAACUACGUG
rnacentral:rRNA from 1 species